rnacentral:rRNA from 1 species
AUGGCGGCGGCGGCGGCCCAGCUGGCCAACGCCGGCUUCCCUAACCAGUACUGGCCGGCGCCGUCGACCCCUUCCACCGGCUUCCCGACGUACGGCUGGGAGAACGCCCACGCCACCUUCUACGGCUCCGACUCCGGCCUCGGUCACGACUUCGGCGGCGCGUGCGGGUACAGCGGCAGCGACAUCGCCUCGCUCUACUCGACGAGGACGGCGGCGCUGAGCACCCCGCUGUUCGCCAAAGGGGACGGUUGCGGGCGGUGCUACGAGAUCCGGUGCGUGCAGUCCAAGUGGUGCGUGCCGGGGUCGCCCUCCGUCGUCAUCACCGGCACCAACCUCUGCCCGCCAAACUGGUACCAGGACAGCAACGACGGCGGCUGGUGCAACCCGCCGCGCAGGCACUUCGACAUGGCGCCGCCCUCCUUCUACAAGCUCGCUGCCAGGGUCGCCGGGAUCGUGCCCGUCCAGUUCCGCCGCGUGCCGUGCGAGAGGAGCGGCGGCGUCCAGUUCUGCCUCAUGGGGAACCCCUACUGGCUGCUCGUCCACGUCAACAAUGUCGGCGGCGGCGGUGACAUCGGCCAGAUAGCUGUCAGGGAGACAGGCGGGGUGUGGAUCCAGAUGACGCAGAACUGGGGGAUCACGUUCCAGGCCUUCUUCGAGCUGGACAGGUCCAAGGGGCUCCAAUUCAUGAUCACCGGCGGUACCGACCGCAAGACCAUCGUCGUCGGCGACGCCGUCCCCGCCUGGUGGAGCACCGGCCUCUGCUACCAGGGAUCAAACAACUUCUGGUAG